rnacentral:rRNA from 1 species
UACGGAGGGUGCAAGCGUUGUCCGGAAUUAUUGGGCGUAAAGAGCUCGUAGGCGGUUUGUCGCGUCUGCUGUGAAAACUCAGGGCUUAACUCUGAGCUUGCAGUGGGUACGGGCAGACUAGAGUGUGGUAGGGGAGACUGGAAUUCCUGGUGUAGCGGUGAAAUGCGCAGAUAUCAGGAGGAACACCGAUGGCGAAGGCAGGUCUCUGGGCCGAAAAUUGGACGCUGAGGAGCGAAAGGCCGUGGGGGAGCAAACAGG